rnacentral:rRNA from 1 species
UACGUAGGGGGCAAGCGUUGUCCGGAAUCAUUGGGCGUAAAGCGCGUGUAGGCGGCUCGGUAAGUCCGCUCUGAAAGUCCAGGGCUCAACCCUGGGAUGCGGGUGGAUACUGCCGGGCUCGAGUCCGGAAGAGGCGAGUGGAAUUCCCGGUGUAGCGGUGAAAUGCGCAGAUAUCGGGAGGAACACCAAUGGCGAAGGCAGCUCGCUGGGACGUUACUGACGCUGAGACGCGAAAGCGUGGGGAGCAAACAGG